GCUGCUCUCAGAGGAAUUCCCCAAUGGAAAGAGAGGAACUGUGAAGGCAGAGUAGCCAGUAGUGAGCCCUUCUCAUCCCAAGCUUCAGGUUCAGCACAUCUGGCUUCCCCUUGCUUCAGCCCCUGCGUUACCUGCUGCUGUCCUUGCUAUUCACCUCCAACACAGGCAACUGCUGGGCCUGGGCGCACCUCCAGGGGAACACCAGGGGUGGGGAUGGAGCACAGGAGACAGGGUCAGGACAGGGGGUGGGUGGCUGCACCACAGAUGCCUGGAAUGUCAGACCCCCCUGAGUUAAUCCCUCAUCCUACAGAGGACUGCAAGGACCAGGAGUGACAGGGUCACACCUGGAAUACCCCACCCAACCCUGGGGACAGCAGGCUGAGAAGGAAGUUGGUACAUCAGGUUGUGUCCAGCUGGUCUGAGCCUGAUAGGUGAGGGGCUGGGGGACAGUGGCUGAAAAAGUAAAAGGGCUAAGGGGGCCAGGGGCCCACAAGCUUGUUCAAUCGAAAGCUGCAGGCAGGGGUACGGAGGAGCGUGAUGUGCCGAUAUCUGAGAGUGUCUGGAAAAGGGGAUGGGGCUCUUCUCAGUGGCUCCAGAACUAAAGCCAGGGCAGAAGGUACAGGAGCUCAACUUCCAAAUGACUUUUCCCAGAAUCCAAACCAUAGGAAGAUGGAUGGCUCUCGUGUCCUGGCAAAGUAAUGAGUAGGCUGUCACUGCAUGUGUUCAAGCAAAGGCUAGGCUGCCACCAUUCAGUAUUGUCAUGCCAUGGGGAGCUCUGCAAAGUAUCACAUCGACUGCUGAAAUCUCUCCCCCGUACACACCGAGCUGCCCUGGGAGAGCUGGUAUGGCAUGCUGCUGAGCGUUCAACCCUAGAGCCAGCUGGCUCGGGUUCAAAUCCCUGCUCUGCUCUUGAGGAGUGGAGCUACCUGGGGUAACUCACUGCAGCCACCCCCAGCUCCAAUACUGUAUUAGAAGGAUGACAAUGGCAGUGCCACCUUCAAAGGGUUGCAGUGAGGAUGGAAUGAGUUAAUACUGCAAGUACUUGCUCAUUCUGGUUGCACAACCAGAAAGGCCACUCAGACCAGUAUCCAUCCUCCAGAUCAGCCAGGAAGGAUUUCACUUUGUAUUACACUAAGAGAGGUGCCUUCUCUGGAAUGACUUGCCACACACCCACAGCCAGACAUAAAGUUCCCUGAAGGAAGAGGGUAAGCAGGGGACCCCAACACUGCAAAGCAAGCGCCUUGAGAGGGAACCUGAGUGCUCAGAAGCAGUGAGGGCCUAUUUAUUCACACUUAUUUAGUGAACCUCAUGCCCCAGGUAUCCCAAAUGCUGGAGGGCCCAGUCACAGGGACCCAAUGACUUGCCUUACCCAAUAAUAAAUAGAUGCCCCAACCCCACUUGCAGGGUGCUAAACAUAAGCUCCCCAGUGUGUGCAUGGAAGUAAAGACAGUCAGGUUGUACUUAUAGAAAACUUGAAUUCUUCCCCUGUCAACCCCUGCACUGUCCCCUCCCUCUGUCUCUGCUCCUCAUCUUCCCUCCACCUUCCCUCCAGCCCCUGCAGUUUCUCUUGUUUGGCUUCCUCCCCAGAGCUGGAUAGGUGUUUCCAGGUCAAGACAAUUGGUUGAUUCCAUCAAAACCCACAGCAGGUGGGGCUUUGAAAAAAACAGGAGUCUGCAUAUUUAUUCUCGCAACACUUUUCACUGCUUGCCUGAACUUCUCACUUUUCUGCAGGCUGAGUUGGCAUCUGAAGACCCUCUGCUGUUGGCCACAGCAGCAACUCAGGAGAAGUGGGAGGAUUUAGGAGUGCAGAGAGCAGAGAAGCCGCUAAGGGCAUUUUCAGCUUAAUAAGCCUUCCUGGGCGUCCUGCCAAAUGACCUUUGGGAGCAGCCUGUGGGGUACCCCUCGCUACUUGCAAGCAUUCAGAUUCGCCCUGGGUAAGCCGAGCUGCAUUUGUGCACUUCCUCUUCCUCAUGCUGGUGUGGCUCAAGCCACUUCAGAAGCUUCAUCCUAUGCUUCCAGGGAGAUCCUAUGGGAGCCCUGGAUGUGACCUGACUCUGAGCAGCAUUUGACAUGCUGAUAUCCUUUUUCCUCAGGCCUCUCUCCUGCCUGCACCUGCUGCCUCCCCUUUCAGGCACCUUGGCAGGCUGACAGGACCUGAAUAGAACCAGACCCGGAUGACAAGUCCCAUAGAGGUCCCAGGUUCUCAAAAGAGGUCUUGGAACACAGAUGGAUGGACCAGAGUCAGGAGAAGAUGCCAAGUUCUGAAGGCCCCUGGGGACCACAUGGAGGCGCCUCCACCAUCCUCAGGGGUGAAACCACAUCCUCCCCUUGGGGGAAUGCUGGCCCUGAUACCCCCACCUGCCUGCCCAGCCAUCUCCAGCACUCCCCAAGAUCUCUACUUUUCCUUCUGGCAAGGGGUACAAAGACAGCAAAUAAAACUGCCAAACUUUUA